rnacentral:rRNA from 1 species
GACGAGCCGUGCGAACGUUGUUCGGAAUCACUGGGCUUAAAGGGCGCGUAGGCGGACCACCAAGUCCGGGGUGAAAUCUUUCGGCUCAACCGGAAAAUAGCCUCGGAGACUGGCGGUCUGGAGGGGGGUAGGGGCAGCUGGAACUUCCGGUGGGAGCGGUGAAAUGCGUUGAUAUCGGAAGGAACGCCGGUGGCGAAAGCGAGCUGCUGGACCUUUUCUGACGCUGAGGCGCGAAGGCCAGGGGAGCAAACGGG